rnacentral:rRNA from 1 species
CAUGUCCUUUAGUAGUAUAAUUUAAGGUCUAAUCUGCUCACUGAAUUUUUAAAUAGCCGCAGUAUAUUAACUGUGCAAAGGUAGCAUAAUAAUUAGUUUCUUGAUUAGGAACUAGAAUGAAUGAUUGGACGAGAAAAUUACUGUUUCUAAUUAAUUUUUUAUUGAAUUUUAUUUUUAAGUUAAAAAGCUUAAAUUCUUAUGAAAGACGAGAAGACCCUAUAGAGUUUUAUAUUUAAUAUUUAAUAAAUAUAAGAAUUUUAUUUAAAUUUUAAGUAUUUGGUUGGGGUGAUUAAAAGAUGAGAAUAAUUCUUUUAUUAUUUAGUUAAUGAUUUUUAAUUUAUUAAGGUAUUUUUAUAGAUUUAAAUUAAAUUACCUUAGGGAUAACAGCGUAAUUUUUUUUAAAAGUUCUUAUUGAAAAGAAAUUUUGCGACCUCGAUGUUGGAUUAAAAUUUAUUUUAGGUGAAGUAGCUUAAAUAUUAGGUCUGUUCGACCUUUGAAAUUUUACAUGAUCUGAGUUUAGACCGGCGUGAGCCAGGUUAGAUUCUAUCUUUAGAAAAUUUUUGUUGUUUUAGUACGAAAGGACCAAAUAAUAAUUAUAUAUUA